GCCCGUACCGAAAAUGGACACACAUGGGUGAGGAGAGAAUCCUAAGGUGAGCGAGAGAACUAUAGCUAAGGAACUCUGCAAAAUGACUCCGUAACUUAGGGAGAAGGAGUGCUCAUAGAGAUAUGAGCCGCAGUGAAACGGCCCAAGCGACUGUUUACCAAAAACACAGCUCUCUGCUAAGCCGCAAGGCGAAGUAUAGGGGGUGACGCCUGCCCGGUGCUGGAAGGUUAAGGGGAGGGGUUAACGCAAGUGAAGCCCUGAACUGAAGCCCCAGUAAACGGCGGCCGUAACUAUAACGGUCCUAAGGUAGCGAAAUUCCUUGUCAGGUAAGUUCUGACCCGCACGAAAGGCGUAACGAUUUGGGCGCUGUCUCGGCUGUAGACUCGGUGAAGUCUUAGUACCUGUGAAGAUGCAGGUUACCCGCGACUAGACGGAAAGACCCCAUGGAGCUUUACUGUAGCCUGAUAUUGGACUCUGAUGCAUGAUGUACAGGAUAGGUAGGAGGCAAAGAUACGGAUACGCCAGUAUUCGAGGAGCCGACGUUGGGAUACUACCCUUGAUGCAUUGGAGUUCUAACCGGGCCUCAUGGAACUGAGGACGGGACAGUGUCAGGUGGGCAGUUUGACUGGGGCGGUCGCCUCCCAAAGAGUAACGGAGGCGCCCAAAGAUACCCUCAGCAUGGAUGGAAACCAUGCGCAGAGUGCAAAGGCAGAAGGGUGUUUGACUGCGAGACAGACGAGUCGAGCAGGGACGAAAGUCGGGCUUAGUGAUCCGGCGGCACCGCAUGGAAGGGCCGUCGCUCAACGGAUAAAAGCUACCCUGGGGAUAACAGGCUGAUCUCCCCCAAGAGUUCACAUCGACGGGGAGGUUUGGCACCUCGAUGUCGGCUCAUCGCAUCCUGGAGCUGAAGUCGGUUCCAAGGGUUGGGCUGUUCGCCCAUUAAAGCGGUACGCGAGCUGGGUUCAGAACGUCGUGAGACAGUUCGGUCCCUAUCUGUCGUGGGCGCAGGAAGUUUGAGGAGAGCUGCCCUCAGUACGAGAGGACCGGGGUGGACGGACCGAUGGUGCACCAGUUGUCACGCCAGUGGCACAGCUGGGUAGCCAAGUCCGGAAGGGAUAAACGCUGAAGGCAUCUAAGCGUGAAGCCCCCUCCAAGAUGAGACUUCCCAUUCUUCGGAAGGAAGGUCCCUCCAAGACGAGGAGGUAGAUAGGUCAUGGGUGCAAGCAUGGCGACAUGCUGAGCUGAAUGAUACUAAUAGACCGAGAGCUUAGCCAU
rnacentral:rRNA from 1 species